rnacentral:rRNA from 1 species
UACAGAGGUCUCAAGCGUUGUUCGGAAUUACUGGGCGUAAAGCGUGCGCAGGCGGUUUCGUAAGACAGACGUGAAAUCCCCGGGCUCAACCUGGGAAUUGCAUUUAAAACUGUCCAGCUAGAGUCUUGUAGAGGGGGGUAGAAUUCCAGGUGUAGCGGUGAAAUGCGUAGAGAUCUGGAGGAAUACCGGUGGCGAAGGCGGCCCCCUGGACAAAGACUGACGCUCAGGUGCGAAAGCGUGGGGAGCAAACAGG